rnacentral:rRNA from 1 species
GCUAAAUACUGGCCAGAGACCGAUAGCGCACAAGUAGAGUGAUCGAAAGAUGAAAAGCACUUUGGAAAGAGAGUUAAACAGUACGUGAAAUUGUUGAAAGGGAAGCGCUUGCAACCAGACUUGCCCGCGGGUGAUCAGCCGGUGUUCUCACCGGUGCACUCACCUGCGGUCAGGCCAGCAUCGGCUUGGGCGGCCGGACAAAGUUCCCCGGAAUGUAGCUCCUUUCGGGGAGUGUUAUAGCCGGGGGUGCAAUGCGGCCUGCCUGGACCGAGGACCGCGCUUCGUGCUAGGAUGCUGGCGUAAUGGUUGUAAGCGACCCGUCUUGAAACACGGACCAAGGAGUCUAACAUCUAUGCGAGUGUUUGGGUGUCAAACCCAUGCGCGUAAUGAAAGUGAACGGAGGUGGGAACCCUUCAGGGUGCACCAUCGACCGAUCCUGAUGUCUUCGGAUGGAUUUGAGUAAGAGCAUAGCUGUUGGGACCCGAAAGAUGGUGAACUAUGCCUGAAUAGGGUGAAGCCAGAGGAAACUCUGGUGGAGGCUCGCAGCGGUUCUGACGUGCAAAUCGAUCGUCAAAUUUGGGUAUAGGGGCGAAAGACUAAUCGAACCAUCUGUUUACUGGAUGGAAUAUGGGUGGAUUCACCCAGACAGUCCUCGGGUUUUCGAGGGCGACACUGUCGGUCUUGCGGGGACGCCUUCAGGCUACCCGAAGUGGGUUUAGAUGCUCAUUCACAGACUAAGUGACGGUGGCCGUGCCCUGAAGGUGCGGCUAGGAUAUAGCCGAUUCUCCCCU